rnacentral:misc_RNA from 1 species
GAUGAAGAACGUAGCGAAAUGCGAUACUUGGUGUGAAUUGCAGAAUCCCGUGAACCAUCGAGUCUUUGAACGCAAGUUGUGCCCGAAGCCAUCAGGUUGAGGGCACGUCUGCCUGGGCGUCACAUAUCGUUGCCCAAUGCCUAUUGCAGUGCAAUAGGAAUUUCUAGGGCGAAUGAUGGCUUCCCGUGAGCGUUGUUGCCUCGCGGUUGGUUGAAAAUCGAGUCCUUGGUAGGGUGUGCCAUGGUAGAUGGUGGUCGAGUUAGAACGAUACCGAUCAUGUGCAUGCUCCCCAAAAUAUGGCCUCUAUGACCCACACGCGUCUUUUGACGCUCAUGACGAGACCUCAGGUCAGGCGGGGCUACCCGCUGAGUUUAAGCAUAUCAAUAAGCGGAGGA